CUCUGAGGCCCGACCGAUGAAAGAUGAGACCUUCGGCGAGUACAGGUGAGCCGGGGCAGGAUGACAACGAGGAGAAGGCCUUUGGCAGCAGCCAGCCAUCGCUCAACGGGGACAUCAAGCCCCUGGGCAGUGACGACAGCCUGGCCGAUUAUGGGGGCAGCGUGGAUGUUCAGUUCAACGAGGAUGGUUCGUUCAUUGGCCAGUACAGUGGCAAGAAGGAGAAGGAGGCGGCAGGGGGCAAUGACAGCUCAGGGGCCACUUCCCCCAUCAACCCUGCCGUGGCCCUAGAAUAGUGGAGUCCAGGACAGGAGAUGCUGUGCCCCUGGCCUUGGGAUCCAGGCCCCUCCCUCUCCAGCAGGCCCAUGGGAGGCUGGAGUUGGGGCAGAGGAGAACUUGCUGCCUCGGAUCCCCUUCCUACCACCCGGUCCCCACUUUAUUGCCAAAACCCAGCUGCACCCCUUCCUGGGCACACGCUGCUCUGCCCCAGCUUGGGCAGAUCUCCCACAUGCCAGGGGCCUUUGGGUGCUGUUUUGCCAGCCCAUUUGGGCAGAGAGGCUGUGGUUUGGGGGAGAAGAAGUAGGGGUGGCCCGAAAGGGUCUCCGAAAUGCUGUCUUUCUUGCUCCCUGACUGGGGGCAGACAUGGUGGGGUCUCCUCAGGACCAGGGUUGGCACCUUCCCCCUCCCCCAGCCACUCCCCAGCCAGCCUGGCUGGGACUGGGAACAGAACUCGGUGUCCCCACCAUCUGCUGUCUUUUCUUUGCCAUCUCUGCUCCAACCGGGAUGGGAGCCGGGCAAACUGGCCGCGGGGGCAGGGGAGGCCAUCUGGAGAGCCCAGAGUCCCCCCACUCCCAGCAUCGCACUCUGGCAGCACCGCCUCUUCCCGCCGCCCAGCCCACCCCAUGGCCGGCUUUCAGGAGCUCCAUACACACGCUGCCUUCGGUACCCACCACACAACAUCCAAGUGGCCUCCGUCACUACCUGGCUGCGGGGCGGGCACACCUCCUCCCACUGCCCACUGGCCGGCCUCUUCCAGCCGCCCCCACCCCCCAGGACCCCUUAGCAGCCCUGCCCUCCCUAUCGUCUGAACAGUUGUCUUCCUCAGCCUCCUCCCGCCCCCACCUUGGGAAUGUAAAUACACCGUGACUUUGAAAGUUUGUACCCCUGUCCUUCCCUUUACGCCACUAGUGUGUAGGCAGAUGUCUGAGUCCCUAGGUGGUUUCUAGGAUUGAUAGCAAUUAGCUUUGAUGAAC
rnacentral:lncRNA from 1 species